rnacentral:rRNA from 1 species
GGCUUUCNGGUCGUAAAGNUCUGUCNAGUGGGAAGAAUCCAUAUGGUGUUAAUACCGCCAUAUGCUGACGGUACCACUGAAGGAAGCACCGGCUAACUCCGUGCCAGCAGCCGCGGUAAUACGGGGGGUGCGAGCGUUAUUCGGAAUUACUGGGCGUAAAGAGCGCGUAGGCGGUCUUUUAAGUCAGGUGUGAAAGCCCGGGGCUCAACCCCGGAAGUGCACUUGAAACUAAGAGACUUGAGUAUGGGAGAGGGAAGUGGAAUUCCUGGUGUAGCGGUGAAAUGCGUAGAUAUCAGGAGGAACAUCAGUGGCGAAGGCGACUUCCUGGACCAAUACUGACGCUGAGGCGCGAAGGCGUGGGGAGCAAACAGGAUUAGAUACCC